AGUCAUUGUCAAAACCCUUUUUUACCAUAUUUGAGCAUCAAAGGAGGUUUGAAGGGUGUGGCUCUCAGGCUAAGUCUAACCUGGAGUCCAUUAUUAACUUCAACUUUUGUCACUUCUGUAGUCUUUCUAUCAUCUCAAAGUGCUGUGUCAGCAUUAUUCUGUUAGAAAUUGUACUUGUAGCCGGGCGCGGUGGCUCACGUCUGUAAUCCCAGCACUUUGGGAGGCCGAGGCGGGCGGAUCAUCUGAGGUCAGGAGUUCAAGACCAGCCUGACCAACAUGGAGAAACCCCGUCUCUACUAAAAAUACAAAAUUAGCCAGGGUGGUGGCGCAUGCCUGUAAUCCUAGCUACUAGGGAGGCUGAGGCAGGAGAAUCGCUUGAACCCGGGAGGCAGAGGGAAAACACGGUGCCUCUACUAUAGUGGAUCCAGCCUUGAAGAGGCCUCACCCUGCCUCAACACCUCUUCCCCAAGACCCUGACGGCCAGGACAGUGUCUUUUUGCCUUCAGACUAGGCAGAGUGAGGUCCCCUGAGAGAGAUAAAUAUUGUGAUUUCCCCACCCAAAGUUAUUUGCAUUAGGUGAAAAAUGGCCACACAUUCUUUGUGGUUCCUCUCAUCAAGACAUACGGUCUCUUUCUCAUCCCUUGAAUCGGGGCAAAGCCUUGUGAUUUGCUCUGAUCAAAAGAACUUAGUAGAACCGACGUUGUCCCAGCCCCAGUUCCAGGCCCAGAACCCAAGAAAUCUUGCAGCUUCUACUCUCACUCUCCUGGAGCCCUAAGGCUGAAGCAGCCUGCUAGACAGGCCACAUGGAAGAGAACCAGGUCACCCCAACCAACAACCUGUCACCUGC
rnacentral:lncRNA from 1 species